rnacentral:rRNA from 1 species
UGCCAGCAGCCGCGGUAAUACUGAAGGUGCAAGCGUUAAUCGGAAUCACUGGGCUUAAAGGGUGCGUAGGCGGCCAGGUAAGUUGGGUGUGAAAUCCCUCGGCUCAACCGAGGAACUGCGCCCAAAACUACUUGGCUUGAGGGAGAUAGAGGUGAGCGGAACUUAGGGUGGAGCGGUGAAAUGCGUUGAUAUCCUAAGGAACACCGGUGGCGAAAGCGGCUCACUGGAUCUCUUCUGACGCUGAGGCACGAAAGCUAGGGUAGCGAACGGGAUUAGAUA